UCCGUCGUAAGUCAGAAUCUGAAGGAAGUCAGCGGCAAACAUCUGGCCUGACGCACAGAAACUUGAUAUGAAGGCUUGAGGAAGUAAGUCAGUCUGCAAAACAAGACAAAGCUUGAUAGCUAUUCGGAACUUUCAAAGUAAAUCAAGCGGGUAUAAGAUAGAAAGAAUACGUC
rnacentral:ncRNA from 1 species